GGUUAAUCUAAUUACCACAGGCAGAGAAAUACAGUAUUAUAAAACACAUCACAGGGACCCCAAAACAUGCAAUAACCCCAUAAAAGUAUAUCCUUGGAACCGGGGGAUCUGGGUGAACCACAUUUCCAAAAUUCACCCAGAUCCGUUCAGUACUUUGGAAAAUACAGUUUAAUGCAGAUUCCACAGAACAUAUGCAGGCUAAAUGAAAAACAAUUACUGUAUAAUGUGUCCC